CCUACGGGGGGCAGCAGUGAGGAAUAUUGGUCAAUGGUCGGGAGACUGAACCAGCCAAGCCGCGUGAGGGAGGAAGGUACAGAGUAUCGUAAACCUCUUUUGUCAGGGAACAAAGGCGGGGACGUGUCCCCGGAUGAGUGUACCUGAAGAAAAAGCAUCGGCUAACUCCGUGCCAGCAGCCGCGGUAAUACGUAGGGUGCAAGCGUUAUCCGGAUUUACUGGGUGUAAAGGGAGCGCAGGCGGCGCGUUAAGCCUGGUGUGAAAGCCCGCGGCCCAACCGCGGGACUGCAUUGGGAACUGGCGCGCUGGAGUGCCGGAGGGGUAGGCGGAAUUCCUAGUGUAGCGGUGAAAUGCGUAGAUAUUAGGAGGAACACCAGUGGCGAAGGCGGCCUACUGGACGGUGACUGACGCUGAGGCUCGAAAGCGUGGGGAGCAAACAGGAUUAGAUACCCUAGUAGUC
rnacentral:rRNA from 1 species